UACGUAGGGGGCAAGCGUUGUCCGGAAUCAUUGGGCGUAAAGAGCGUGUAGGCGGUUCGGUAAGUCGGAUGUGAAAGCCCUUGGCUCAACUGAGGAAGUGCAUCCGAAACUGGCAGGCUAGAGUACGAAAGAGGAUCGCGGAAUUCCCGGUGUAGAGGUGAAAUUCGUAGAUAUCGGGAGGAACACCGGUGGCGAAGGCGGCGAUCUGGGUCGAUACUGACGCUGAGGUGCGAAAGCGUGGGGAGCAAACAGG
rnacentral:rRNA from 1 species